rnacentral:tRNA from 1 species
CUGCUAGCGGUGAGAUCACCGGUCGUGGGACCGGAGACGGAGGUUCGAUUCCUUCGCUGCCGA